rnacentral:lncRNA from 1 species
GUCCUUCACGUGACCUUGAACAAAAGGUUUUUAUAGCUGUUGAUUCUUGCUGCUCUGCUUUGCAGUGUCAGAUGUUUGUCUUGGUGGGUGUCGAGGUAAACCUUUAUUGAUUUUGUGUCCUCGGUUGCUUUUUGUUCCGCAGAGACGUGCUCCUGAGUCCGAAGGGCCUUGCGCCGGAGCCACUGAUGCUGUUAAGGUUCUCCCCUUUACCAUGUUAACACCAUUGCUCGACGUUUCCAAUCCUGCUCACGUUUCCCCCCCCGCUUCCCUUUCAGUCCGCCAUCAUCAUCAUCAUCUUUGCUUUUCUCCAUGACAUGAAACCUGCCAUCGGUUAAUUUGGGUUGCCGUCGUUUUUGAUUUAUUCAUCUAUUUUUGUUUCCCCUCAUCCAUUUUUGUUUCUGUGCAGAGUUCACUUGAGACUCUGAAUGUA